rnacentral:rRNA from 1 species
AUUGAACGCUGGCGGCAGGCCUAACACAUGCAAGUCGAACGAGUGGCGGACGGGUGAGUAAUGUCUGGGAAACUGCCCGAUGGAGGGGGAUAACUACUGGAAACGGUAGCUAAUACCGCAUACCAUCGGAUGUGCCCAGAUGGGAGUAGCUUGUAGGUGAGGUAACGGCUCACCUAGGCGACGAUCCCUAGCUGGUCUGAGUGGAUGAGCAGCACCACGGUAACGGAGACACGGUCCAGACUCCUCUGGGAGGCAGCAGUGGGGAAUAUUGCACAAUGGGCGCAAGCCGGAUGCAGCCAUGCCGCGUGUAUGAAGAAGGCCUUCGGGUUGUAAAGUACUGUCAGCGGGGAGGCGUGACCCGCAGAAGAAGCACCGGCUAACUCCGUGCCAGCAGCCGCGGUAAGUC